UGUAAAAUCAACAUCUCAAAAUAAUCUUUGCUGACUACGUUCCCUCUAAUAAUCAUUUCAUGCACAUAUUGUUAACACUAAAACUUUGUUUUCCUUCCAUGUAACGAACUAAACUCGUCUCCUGAUGUUGGUCUACUGUCUGUGAUUGUAUGGCAGCUUAACCCAUAGAAAGCCAGCCAAGUUUAAAUGGUGGCUUUUUCAAAAACUACAGCCGGUUCUCUUGUGCUUGUCCUGUAAGUAUGUGUUCUAGAUUGAGCGUGUUGUUUCAUUGGUCUCAGUCUAUCUUACCUGAAACCUAAGUGUUUUUCCGUCCUUAUCAUGAAGCUUGCAGUGAAAAAUGACUGUAUUGGCUGCAGCAGCUCGGUCCUGCAUCAACUGUAAAGACAAGGACUUUCCAAUCAACAUUAUCAAGAGCCUGUUGUAGUUCCCUUGAUCAUAUUUUGGGGUUAUUGGAGACUUCUUUUAGCAUCUUGCAGUCUGCUUUCCAUGUGAAUUUGAACGGUCACUCCUGUCCUAAAUGUCCUCCACUUGUACACAAUGUUCAGCACAGUGAAACCGUUAAAAUCUCUGUAAGACUCUUUUCAGACUCAAAAGCUGCUGCAAUCUUAAUUUCUGAAGACCUUUCUGUCUCAUCAUAGCAUUCCCUCUCAAUUCGACAGUAAGGAGUACGACAAACUAAAUGUUAAAAGGUUUGAAGAAGGUUAAACAUCCCUCGAAAUGCUGCACUGAUCAUGUGGAUCUAAUGUGAAACAUCCCAGAACAUCACAGGUGUGUAAAUUAGAAAGGUAACAACCACAAUGCUAAAUACAAUACUGAUUAAAUGCUGUACUGUUCAAACGUAAGCAAUGCAUUGAUUUUAUUCAGUUUUAGAUUGGUAGCUGCUUUAUAUUGGCAAAAAUGCUGAUUCCUAAAAGACCAGAAUUAGCAUCAAAGCCAAAAACAUCUGGAUUUGAGAACCUCAGUUGUUCAGUUUUUACAUUUCAUUUGGGUUCCCCUACCAGUGAAUAAGGCGACAACAGACAAGAGAGGUGAACAAGGAUCUGGCAAGGAGGAAAUGAAACUGACUGGCUUUUAAAGUACUGGGAAUUUGGACUGGUUAGCAGAAAACACUGAAGCUGGGAGAGAAUAGAGGAGCUGAAGGGAAACACUGAAAUGAACACAGAGGUGAUCUAAAUGACACAAAACAACACACACACACAAAAAGAAUCCAAAUAUAAAACCAAAAAAAUAAAAACGUGUAUCAUGAAGGUUUCCUUAUGAACGCUGAUCCUUUCUGCUUUCAUUUUGUUUUUUUUUAUUUAUUUAGCAUUUUAUUCCCUCCAGUGCUGCAAUCAUUUAAGUUCAGGCACAAAAUAAGAUUCAGAUUUAUCAACAUUUGAACCUAACGAAUUACAUUCUUUAAUUUAUGGCAAUAAAAUCAUAACAGUGUAAAUAAAUCGAGACCGCAACAGGAUUUGGUUGCAUUUAUACACAAACUAUUUACAUGUGGUCACUAAACAGUAGCAAAAGCAAAAUGCUUCAGAUAAAACAGGAGCACUGACACUGAGGCGUUGUGUGAUCAUUUUUGUCGUUGCAGUUUUUGUGGAUCUACAUUGUUUUGUCAAGAGGAAUCUGAGCUGCACCAAGACGUUCAAGAAGAGGUUUGAACAGCCUUAGACUGACUGCUGUUCUCCUUGAAGAUAUGGUGUGUAGCUGUGGCUCUAAAAGACCGCCUCAUUAGGAAAUACUGGGUUUCAAACCUGGAGAUGACCUUUUAUUUUAAAUUACAAAUGCACAGAGUAAUUCAUACACAUCAUUCCAGCUACCGGAUCUCUGUCAUUUGCCUGAUCUUCUCAGACAGAGUGA